CAGUGCGAUCACCUGUGUUGAUCACAAUGCCUCUGGCAGAACCUGAGAACGAUAUUUCAGUCUCAACAUUUUAAGGCCUUCAUUGCAGAAAAGAAUACAAUGUUCCUUGUCUCUAGAGGAUUGUCAUUGGAGAAAUCAGGAGUACGUGUCUGAGGCUCAGAUUCACCAGUAAGGGAUGAAUUGUCCACCUGAAAAACCAGGGAGAGAUCAGUUUACAUGGGAUUACAUGCACCAGGUGGAAAGUUCAGCCACAGACAAGUGACCAACAGGAAGAUCAAGCAAAUCAGGCACCACAAUAAAUUUCACUGUGUUGUCUGUGUUUGAAUGAGUGUAAAA